rnacentral:lncRNA from 1 species
GACCUCGCCGCGCGUGAGCGUGGAGGCCGUGCCGCGGCGCUUGUUCUGGAGGUCGGUGACGACGGCGCGGUGGACGACGGCGCGGGCGGUGGAGGGAGGUGCGGAGCGGAGGUCGAGGAGCGACUCGCCGACCUUCUCGCCGGAGAAGUUGAGAACGGGAAUGGGAGAAGCCUUGCAGGAGACUGAGAGGGAGGUGGUGGUGGUGGUGGUUGUGAGGGGUAGAAUGGGAAAGUUGAAUUUGUGAGUGUUGAAUUGGUGUGAAGAGAUGAAAAUGGAAGAUGAGGUGAAGGAAAGUGAGGUUGGGGUUGUUGCUGUUGUGAGGAACAGUGAUGAUGCCAUUUUCCACACUCUCUGGACUCACACUUUUGCUAUUCCUAUCCUAUCACUUCUAGAUAACAUUUGCUGCUGCUGCAUCUCU